AAACACCUGAAAUAACAGUAAGAUUAUCAAUCAUAGGAAACUAAAAAACCCAAGAAAUAAAAUAAAAGUGGUAAUAAGUUAUUGUGCCCCAACCCUUUUUAAUGGCUUACUAAGCCUUAUAGUUAUGUAGAUUUGUGCAAAGUAGGCACCCAUGCAAUUCAACAAGGCAUGAUGGGUAACUGAUUUGCAGUCGAGCAUUUGUAACAUACCCUAUCACAGCCUGGAUGCUGACACUUGAAUGGCUUCUCUCCACUGUGAGUUCCUUGGUGAUACUUGAGGUGUCCAGAGGAGGGUCACUCUCCACUGCAGAUAGACCACUAGACACAGCAUGUAUGUAGAAUAUGCCCUCUGAGACGUGAGCAAAGGAGUUAGUCAAUUUACAACAAACAAUGGACUUGAUAUUUGCUAAAGAAAAGCAUCUUUGGACAAGAUAAAAUACACUUCAUA